rnacentral:rRNA from 1 species
CUUUGAGGGAGUGGCAGACGGGUGAGUAACACGUGGGAACGUGCCCAGAGGUGGGGAACAACUGCUGGAAACGGCAGCUAAUACCCCAUGAGCCCUACGGGGAAAGAUUUAUCGCCUUUGGAUCGGCCCGCGUCGGAUUAGCUAGUUGGUGAGGUAACGGCUCACCAAGGCGACGAUCCGUAGCUGGUUUGAGAGGAUGAUCAGCAACACUGGGACUGAGACACGGCCCAGACUCCUACGGGAGGCAGCAGUGGGGAAUCUUGGACAAGUGGGGCAACCCUGAUCCAGCCAUGCCGCGUGAGCGAUGAAGGCCCUAGGGUUGUAAAGCUCUUUCACCGGUGAAGAUAAUGACGGUAGCCGGAGAAGAACGCCCCGGCUAACUCCGUG